rnacentral:rRNA from 1 species
AGCAGCCGCGGUAAUUCCAGCUCCAAUAGCGUAUAUUAAAGUUGUUGCAGUUAAAAACUCGUAGUUGAAUUUCGGGAUCAAUACGUCGGUCGUGCUUCGGUACGUACUGGCGUCAUUGAUUUCUCCCUUCUGACGAACCACGAUGUCAUUAACUUGGUGUCAUGGGAAAUCAGGACUGUUACUUUGAAAAAUUAGAGUGUUUAAAGCAGGCUCACGCUUGAAUACAUUAGCAUGGAAUAAUGAAAUAGGACGUUCGAUCCUAUUUUGUUGGUUUUAGGAUCAACGUAAUGAUUAAUAGGGAUAGUUGGGGGCAUUAGUAUUCAAUUGUCAGAGGUGAAAUUCUUGGAUUUAUUGAAGACUAACUACUGCGAAAGCAUUUGCCAAGGAUGUUUUCAUUAAUCAAGAACGAAAGUUAGGGGAUCGAAGACGAUCAGAUACCGUCGUAGUCUUAACCAUAAACUAUGCCGACUAGGGAUCGGAUGAUGUUAAUUUUUAAUGACUCAUUCGGCGCCUUACGGAA